rnacentral:pre_miRNA from 1 species
ACUCACUGAUGUAGGUGGUGGUGGUGAUCAUGAUGAUGAUGAGCAUCAUCAUCAUCAUCAUCAUCAUCAUCAUUGUGU